rnacentral:rRNA from 1 species
UACGUAGGGGGCAAGCGUUACCCGGAUUCACUGGGCGUAAAGCGCGUGUAGGCGGCUGGCCAAGCGUGGUGUGAAAUCUCCGGGCUCAACCCGGAAACUGCACUGCGAACUGGCCUGGCUGGAGUGCAGGAGAGGGAUGCGGAAUUCACGGUGUAGCGGUGAAAUGCGUAGAUAUCGUGAGGAACACCAGUGGCGAAGGCGGCAUCCUGGCCUGUAACUGACGCUGAGACGCGAAAGCGUGGGUAGCAAACAGG